UGGGGAAUAUUGCGCAAUGGGGGAAACCCUGACGCAGCGACGCCGUGUGAGGGAAGAAGGCUUUCGGGUCGUAAACCUCUGUCAGGAAGGAAGAACCUCUCAAGGCUGAACAAGCCUUGGGACUGACGGUACUUCCAGAGGAAGCACCGGCUAACUCCGUGCCAGCAGCCGCGGUAAUACGGAGGGUGCAAGCGUUAAUCGGAAUCACUGGGCGUAAAGCGCGCGUAGGCCGUCUUUUAAGUCGGACGUGAAAGCCCUCGGCUCAACCGGGGAACUGCGUUCGAUACUGGGAGACUUGAGUCCUGGAGAGGGUGGCGGAAUUCCGGGUGUAGGAGUGAAAUCCGUAGAUAUCCGGAGGAACACCGGUGGCGAAGGCGGCCACCUGGACAGGUACUGACGCUGAGGUGCGAAAGCGUGGGGAGCAAACA
rnacentral:rRNA from 1 species